CGCGCGAGACGGAGAUUUGCUCGCGGAUGUUUGAUUUACGCGCGAGUUAUGAUUUUUAUUUUAUUUUUUUCUCCAGGGAAUAACCACGAUCCCCUGGUUAUAACAAAUAAACUGAUGGAAGUGUUUCCGAAGCUCCAACAAGGGGGAGGCUUUAAUGGAAAAUCUUGCAUUGCUUCAGUGUCCCAGCACUGGAUACACCCUUGCCUAUCUGAAAGAUCCAUCGACGAUGAUUGGACAGGCUACAAUCUACAUAAGUCCACUUCAACAGGAUCUACCCUUAGAUUGUGUACAUAAAUGAGAGCUCACGUCCUGCCUCUGGUCCAGUCAUCCCCUGCAUCACUUGUCAGAAGGAGGUUCCCUUUUCAGAGAUGAAGCUGCACAGAUUGAGCUGCAAUGGGAGGAAUGGGCCGAACACUGCCAUUUGAGGGUGAACCUGACCAUCUUGUUCCAGCAGCAUCAGAGGCACAUAUUGAAAGCAACCUCUUCCGGGUUGCACGAAGGAUGUUGGCCCACACCUUUCUGCAUGACGGUCCCCAUGUUACAGGAUUAAGUCCUGCUGUAAUUCAUGUACUGUUCAAUGGGGACCCUGAAAUGGCUACUGUUGUUGUUGAACACUGUCCUGAUCUGCACAUCAGGAGCAUCAUAGAACUGGUAUGUAACCUAGCCAUGUAAAAAGUAUUGCUUGGGCAGAUAUAAUAAAUGGUAUGGUCCUUAUUCUAGCCUGAACAUGAAGAACUUACACCAGAACAGAAAGACACAGUUUCAGAUCUUUCCAUGUCUUGGGAUCUUCCGGCAGUCACCAAAACAAAUCGGAGAUGGCUACAUAAUAAACUUCUACUCCAUGCAGUGAGUUCCUGCUGGUUAAGUGACAGAUUUCAUUGCUGUACUUGUUGAAAUUAUAGAAUGUAUUCUGAACCCUGGCUUGUUAAUGUUAACACGAGAGUUUAAGUACUAGAGUUUUAAUGGAUUUUAUGAGGCACUUUAUUGUGCUUUUAUUAACAUUUUUUCUACUGUGCGAACUUUUGUCAAAUUUGGGUUUUAAUAUGGGUCGGUGGGAGGACCAUGCGCCAAAUUAAACAGUUGAGAAAGGGACUGAAAGAUGUAAUGGUAUGGCCCCUGCUGACAUCUAGGCCAGAUGUUGUCCCACUUUUCCCCAAAAUGGCUGAAAUGCAGUUCACACCCCAGGUAAGUCAGUAAUUGAGUUACAUUUGUGACUUAACUUGAUGAAUUUUACGUCUAUUUUCAAUGACUGAGCUGGCUAUUUUUCCAUUUUCCAAGAAUGUGAUCUGCAUAGUCCUUCACCAAAAUAAGUUCUCCCUUUUUAAAAUUACAAUUUUUGUUUUCUUUAAGAUGCUCCUAGAAAAAAAAUCACAUGACCAGUUGAGGACAGUGACGAUGAAGACUUUGACACCACCUGCCGCAUCACUGGCUUUCUAAGGAUGUUCAUUGAAACAGCUUCAUCAGGUACCCUGGCCCAGCUGCUGACAUUCUGGGUUGGCUGGGAGAGGCUUCCUCCUGAACUGACAGUGGAGAUUUCUGAGGGAACCCUUCCUACGUCCUCCACAUGCUUU